rnacentral:misc_RNA from 1 species
AACGCACAUUGCGCCCUUUGGUAUUCCGAAGGGCAUGCUUGUUCGAGCGUCAUUUCAAACCUCAAGCUUCUGCUUGGUAUUGGGCCUCGUCCGUCUAGGACGUGCCAGAAACCCGUGGGCGGUGGUGCCGGUCUCCCAGCGUAGUCAAUUCUAUCCGCUUCGGAGCUUCAGGUGCUGCCCGCCGGACAACUCCAAAAAUUUUCUAUGGUUUGACCUCGGAUCAAGUAGGGAUACCCGCUGAACUUAA